rnacentral:tRNA from 1 species
CUGGUAGCUCGUCGGGCUCAUAACCCGAAGGUCGUCGGUUCAAAUCCGGCCCCCGCAACCA